ACGGAAGGCAGCAGUGGGGAAUAUUGCACAAUGGGGGAAACCCUGAUGUAGCGACGCCGCGUGAGUGAAGAAGUAUUUCGGUAUGUAAAGCUCUAUCAGCAGGAAAGAAAAUGACGGUACCUGACUAAGAAACCCCGGCUAACUACGUGCCAGCAGCCGCGGUAAUACGUAGGGGGCAAGCGUUAUCCGGAUUUAUUGGGUUUAAAGGGUGCGUAGGCUGUGGUCCAAGUCAGGGGUGAAAGUCCGGAGCUCAACUCCGGAACUGCCUUUGAUACUGGAUUGCUGGAAUACGGAUGCCGUGGGAGGAAUGAGUAGUGUAGCGGUGAAAUGCAUAGAUAUUACUCAGAACACCGAUUGCGAAGGCAUCUCACGAAUCCGUCAUUGACGCUGAGGCACGAAAGCGUGGGGAUCAAACAGGAUUAGAUACCCUGGUA
rnacentral:rRNA from 1 species